rnacentral:rRNA from 1 species
UCGAGCGGUAACAUUUCUAGCUUGCUAGAAGAUGACGAGCGGCGGACGGGUGAGUAAUACUUAGGAAUCUACCUAGUAGUGGGGGAUAGCACGGGGAAACUCGUAUUAAUACCGCAUACCACCUACGGGAGAAAGGGGGCAGUUUACUGCUCUCGCUAUUAGAUGAGCCUAAGUCGGAUUAGCUAGAUGGUGGGGUAAAGGCCUACCAUGGCGACCAUCUGUAGCUGGUCUGAGAGGAUGAUCAGCCACACCGGGACUGAAACACCGCCCGGACUCCCACGGGAGGCAGCAGUGGGGAAUAUUGGACAAUGGGGGAAACCCUGAUCCAGCCAUGCCGCGUGUGUGAAGAAGGCCUUUUGGUUGGAAAGCACUUUAAGCAAUGAAGAAGACUCUUCGGUUAAUACCCGGAGACGAUGACAUUAGCUGCAGAAUAAGCACCGGCUAACUCUGUGCCAGCAGCCGCGGUAAUACAGAGGGUGCAAGCGUUAAUCGGAAUUACUGGGCGUUAAGGGAGCGUAAGUGGCUCGAUAAGACAGAUGUGAAAUCCCCGGGCUCCACCUGGGAACUGCAUCUGAAACUGUUGAGCUUGAGUAUGUGAGAGGAAAGUAGAAUUCCAGGUGUAUCGGUGAAAUGCGUUAAGAUCUGGAGGAAUACCGAUGGCCAAGGCCGCCUUCUGGCAUAAUACUGACACUGAAGCUCGAAAGCGUGGGUAUCAAACCGGAUUAAAUACCCUGGUAAUCCACGCCGUAAACGAUGUCUACUAGCGUUGGGUCCCUUGAGGACUUACUGACGCAGCUUACGCCAUAAGUAGACCGCCCUGGGGAGUCCGGGCCCCACGGUAAAACUCAAAUGAAUUGACGGGGGCCCCCCAAGCGGUGGAGCAGGUGGGUUAAUUCGAUGCAACCCGGAGAAACCUUACCUGGUCUUGACAUAUCUAGAAUCCC